CGGGAGGUGGCGCAGCGGUAGCGCGCUCGCUUUGGAAGCGAGAAGGCAGAGGUUCAAAUCCUUUUCUCCCGA
rnacentral:tRNA from 1 species